GACGACCGGCCGGACACGGCAGUGCCCGGCCCACAAGUGGAGGCUCCGAUCUCCCACCUGGCCGUCCUCCGGGACGGCGGGUCACCGGUCAGACGACCACCAUCACUCCGCACGGUCGAUGGAGUCGUCCGAAACGCGCCCCGCGGCACACCGCGGCGGUGCUCCGGAAAGCUCGGAGUCCCGCCUGUGUCCCGUCCGGGGCAUUUUUC
rnacentral:ncRNA from 1 species